ACACAUGCAAGUCGAGGGGCAGCAUGAUUGAAGCUUGCUUCAAUUGAUGGCGACCGGCGCACGGGUGAGUAACGCGUAUCCAACCUUCCGUACACUCAGGGAUAGCCUUUCGAAAGAAAGAUUAAUACCUGAUGGUAUGAUGAGAUUGCAUGAUAGCAUCAUUAAAGAUUUAUCGGUGUACGAUGGGGAUGCGUUCCAUUAGGUAGUAGGCGGGGUAACGGCCCACCUAGCCUACGAUGGAUAGGGGUUCUGAGAGGAAGGUCCCCCACAUUGGAACUGAGACACGGUCCAAACUCCUACGGGAGGCAGCAGUGAGGAAUAUUGGUCAAUGGACGAGAGUCUGAACCAGCCAAGUAGCGUGAAGGAUGAAGGUCUUACGGAUUGUAAACUUCUUUUAUAAGGGAAUAAAACCUCCCACGUGUGGGAGCUUGUAUGUACCUUAUGAAUAAGCAUCGGCUAACUCCGUGCCAGCAGCCGCGGUAAUACGGAGGAUGCGAGCGUUAUCCGGAUUUAUUGGGUUUAAAGGGAGCGCAGACGGGUCGUUAAGUCAGCUGUGAAAGUUUGGGGCUCAACCUUAAAAUUGCAGUUGAUACUGGCGUCCUUGAGUGCGGUUGAGGUGUGCGGAAUUCGUGGUGUAGCGGUGAAAUGCUUAGAUAUCACGAAGAACUCCGAUUGCGAAGGCAGCACACUAAGCCGUAACUGACGUUCAUGCUCGAAAGUGUGGGUAUCAAACAGGAUUAGAUACCCUGGUAGUCCACACGGUAAACGAUGGAUACUCGCUGUUGGCGAUAUACGGUCAGCGGCUUAGCGAAAGCGUUAAGUAUCCCACCUGGGGAGUACGCCGGCAACGGUGAAACUCAAAGGAAUUGACGGGGGCCCGCACAAGCGGAGGAACAUGUGGUUUAAUUCGAUGAUACGCGAGGAACCUUACCCGGG
rnacentral:rRNA from 1 species